rnacentral:rRNA from 1 species
ACUCCUACGGGAGGCAGCAGUCACGAAUCUUCCACAAUGGCCGAAAGGCUGAUGGAGCAAUGCCGCGUGUAUGAAGACGCCCUUCGGGGUGUAAAAUACUUUUGUGAGGGACGAAUCAAUGACGGUACCUCACGAAUAAGGGGCUGCUAACCUCGUGCCAGCAGCAGCGGUAAUACGAGGGCCCCAAGCGUUAUCCGGAUUUAUUGGGCGUAAAGGGUCCGUAGGUGGUUUAGCGCAUCUUCUGUUAAAUCUAUCGGCUCAACCGAUAGGCUGCGGAAGAGAUGGCUAGACNAGAGGCCGGAAGAGGUAAGCGGAAUUGCUGGUGUAGGGGUUAAAUCCGUUAAUAUCAGCAGGAACACCAAAUGCGAAGGCAGCUUACUUGUACGUGCCUGACACUGAGGGACGAAAGCGUGGGGAGCGAAUGGGAUUAGAUACCCCAGUAGUCCGCGCCGUANACGAUGGAUGCUAANCAUUGGAAGUAUCGACCCUUCCAGUGUUGAUAUACUCAAGUUAACACCUUAAGCAUCCCGCCUGGGGAGUACGAGCGCAAGCUUAAAACUCAAAGGAAUAGACGGGGACCCGCACAAGCGGUGGAGCAUGUGGUUUAAUUCGAUAAUAAGCGAGGAACCUCACCCAGACUUGACAUUUAGCUGCAGACCCUAGGAAACUAGGGAGCCUUCGAGGGUGCUAAACAGGUGCUGCAUGGUUGUCGUCAGCUCGUGUCGUGAGAUGUACCGNUAAGUCGGAAAACGANCGCAACCCCUGUCCUAUGUUUUAUUUGUCAUANNAGACUGCCCGC